CAUUGGACACGUAGAUUCAGGCAAGUCC
rnacentral:piRNA from 1 species